AAUGUUGGUGUUUCCACUCUUGAAUACUUUUUUCCAAUGGGUUUAUACAACUAUUCAAGUUCAACUAGAAAAAAAUAGCGUUUAGGUCAAAAAUAUAAAUGAUUAAUUAAAUCUGACCUUUCAAGUACAUUAUAACUGUUAGGAAUGGUAAGUACACACAUGCUACAUUAACAGAAGCUGAUUAUGAUUAAACAUUACAAGGGAUACAAAGUUCAGUGAGUGGCCUUAAGAGAGGCCUUACAUGUCUGGUACAGAAGGGUGAUCAAGAGGAAAGUUUACAAAGGAGGUGAUAUUUGAGAUAGGCCUUAAAGGAUGGCUGGGAUUUCAGCUUGCAGCUUUAUUGUUAGAGGGAACAGCAUGAGCGAAGAAUGAAGUCAGAUAAGAGUUUAGGGACCCUUUAAAGGGUUGUCAAAGGGAUGAUGAUGACAUUAAUUGUGAACUAUAAUUUGGUGCCUUCCGGUGAAGCACUUCUAAGGGCCAGCUGGAGCACUGGAAUUUUACUUAAUAAACAUUGAGAAAACAUGAGAGAAUUUUAAGCAGGCAAAAUUAAUCUGGAAGCAGUUUAGAGAAGGUUGUACUAAGGGGCCUGGAAACUGGAAACCUAAGAACCACUGCAGUGGCCCAGGAGAAAACUGACCUUAACUGAAGCUGAAACAGUGGCAAAGGAGAAAGUAAAUGAAAAGAAAGCAGCACUGGCAGCACUGCUAGAGUGGAAUCCACAUGUCGGCUUGGCUGGCACCGGGGAAAGAGUCACCAGCCCACGCACCCACACUGGUGCCAUGACCAGGUGAACAGGGGCACCAGCUUCAGAUCAAAAGAAAAUCAGCAGAAGCAGAAUGUUUGAGUCCCAGAAAGGGGAGGACUCAGUGAGCUUGGAAUUGUUACUAAGUAUUAAUAGGUGGUAUUGGACCAAGUGUUGGGAUGGCAUGUGCUACGCAAGUGCUCUGAGCUACACCCCUAUUGAGACAAAGUCUUGCUCCAUUGCCCAGGUUGGCCUUCAACUUUCACCUUCCAGCUUCAGCCUCCUGAGUAGGUGGGAUUAUAGGUGUGCACCACGACUCCCAGAAAACCACCAUUGAGCUGGACAUGAUGGUCAGCACCUGUAAUCUCAACACUUGGGAAGUGUUGAGGCAGAAGGAUCACAAGUUCCAGCCCAGUCUGGCCCAGAGCUGCAUGUUCCUCCAAAGGGUAUCACUGCACGUCAUUCACUUGCCGUGAGGGCCAUCUGGGCCCAAACUGGGAGAAAAGGAGAGGAGGAAAAAGGCAAAGAGGUAAAUUUCCCAAAACUACCUAAAAAGAACUGAAUGAAGGGAUACAAUGUAAAUUAAGGGUCA